rnacentral:rRNA from 1 species
AACGAACGCUGGCGGCAUGCCUAACACAUGCAAGUCGAACGUGAUCCGGGGCUUGCUCCGGUGAAAGUGGCGGACGGGUGAGUAACGCGUGGGAACCUGCCCUUUGGUCGGGGAUAACUGCGGGAAACUGCGGCUAAUACCCGAUGUACCCGAGAGGGGAAAGAUUUAUCGCCGAAGGAUGGGCCCGCGUCGGAUUAGGUAGUUGGUGGGGUAACGGCCUACCAAGCCUUCGAUCCGUAGCUGGUCUGAGAGGAUGAUCAGCCACACUGGGACUGAGAUACGGCCCAGACUCCUACGGGAGGCAGCAGUGGGGAAUAUUGGACAAUGGGCGCAAGCCUGAUCCAGCAAUGCCGCGUGAGUGAAGAAGGCCUUAGGGUUGUAAAGCUCUUUCAGUUGAGAAGAAAAGAACGUGAAUAAUACGCACGUUUUAUGACGGUAUCAACAGAAGAAGCACCGGCUAACUACGUGCCAGCAGCCGCGGUAAGGCACGACUGU